rnacentral:lncRNA from 1 species
AAAUUCGGACCCCUAAGAGAGCUUCCUAUUCGCACAAGAUAUUUGCUAUCUAGUCGAGAAUUGGAAAGACAAUUAAAGUGAGGUCUCCUAGGUGAGGCUUAGACUUUUGGAUCUAAGACACACUCACCGACUACUCAAUUUUAGGUUGUGAGACUUCUUUGAGUCUAGUUACAAAUGAGGGAAGAGAACUUGUGAACUCUAGCACCUCACUUGCUUGGAUUUGGAACUUCCAACCAAAGAAACCAAAAACAACAAUUUACACAAUUUUAAGCAAGUAAAAGUAACAAUGGAAGGGUUUGGAAGUGCAACUUUGGCUUCUCU